GCAUUGGAGAAUUGUCCAUGAGGCUCUAUGUGUGCCUAGGACCAAAGAAGAAGUUGGCCAUCUUUGUGCUAUCAUAGUGAAGAAAGUAGUCCAGACUGCUCAUUAUUACCUGCUCCCAGUCCUCAGUGAAAUUCUGGGUGUGCCUGUCGCAUACGUAUGUGGAAUGACAAGAUCAGGGCAACACACAUUUUGGGUAAGCACCUCAGAGGCCAAGAGACCUGAAGGAUCAUCUCUACGCCAAGGAUCUCAGGGGAUAACAAAUGAAAUGCUCUUGGCAGCAGCCAAGAAAGAAGUCGAUGAGAUUUUUCGAGAAUCUGUCAGAAUAGUCAGUGGUUUGGAUCCAGUUGUGCCUGCCUUACCAGAGGGAUAUUCUUCCAUCUCCGAAAAGAAUGUGGAUUUGACAGCCUCAUGCACCAUUAAGGACUUUGACUCUGGUCCUACUACAGCACCCAUGAUGGCUGGGGACGCUAAAGCCUCAGGACUAUCACAAUCCAUCCCCUUGCUCAAUCAGUUUACCGACACUGAAUUUCAACAAAGGGCAUCAAAGCAAGUGAGUGAGGUUUUGCUCAAAACUCUUGAGAAUGAAUCCCCAAUUGAGGAAUUUGCUGAAGAUGACGAGGAAUCAAACGCCAAAGCAGAAAGUCAAACAGACCUCUGUAGGGUUCAUGCUAUCUUUCCAUCUGGUCCCCGGUCAGAGUCUCUUGCAGUUGAUCUAGUUGGUGAUAUUAUUGAAUCCAUGAAGGACAAAGUCUCCAGCCAAGAGGUUCAUUCAACAUCAUAUGAUGUUGUUGGAUGUGUUAUUGAAGGGAUGAAAGAUCUUUUGGAGCAAACACGAGCCCUAGGAACUGUUGUUCCAAUGAAAAGGAUCUACAGGACAACAUCUCAAAGAAUGUUCAAUGCAAUUCAGAACAUGGUGGGGAAAUUGUUUUGCAAAUCUUUUCACUCAGAGAAAACGACAGUGGCUUCUGCCAUUAAUGUCACUAGCCAAGUAAUUGUGUCCAUGCAGAGUGAACUUCCCGAUCUCAAGACGGCCGGAAAUCUAGAGCAGGUAGAGCUAAUUGAUAAGAUCCUUAGUGCUAUGUUGAAUGAAGUACAAGUGAUUGACAUUGAAACAGAAACAGACAGGUCACAAAGCCCUGGAUUGCCAUUGUCACACUCCUCAGUAUCAUUUCACUCAGAAAUAGAUGACCAAUCCAAACUCCCCGGUACUUCUGUUCUCCCUGAAGUGUUUAUCGAAAGGAUUUCCCCUCUUCUGACGCAUACUUUUGUUGACAUGGAUGCUGCUUCAUUGUCUCCUGGAUGUGCAAAUGAAACCAUCAGUAGUGUGUUAGACACCAUCUUAGAAUGGGAAAAACGUGUACCCAUCACUGGAAGACUGGAGAAAUUGAUCACUGAAACACAAAUAGGUCAAUAUUCCUGUGAUAUUGCAGAUCGAGUACAUAAAACACUAAAAG